CCUACGGGAGGCAGCAGUGGGGAAUAUUGGACAAUGGGCGCAAGCCUGAUCCAGCCAUACCGCGUGGGUGAAGAAGGCCUUCGGGUUGUAAAGCCCUUUUGUUGGGAAAGAAAUCCUGCCGGUUAAUAACCAGUAGGGAUGACGGUACCCAAAGAAUAAGCACCGGCUAACUUCGUGCCAGCAGCCGCGGUAAUACGAAGGGUGCAAGCGUUACUCGGAAUUACUGGGCGUAAAGCGUGCGUAGGUGGUUGUUUAAGUCUGCUGUGAAAGCCCUGGGCUCAACCUGGGAAUUGCAGUGGAUACUGGACGACUAGAGUGUGGUAGAGGAUAGUGGAAUUUCCGGUGUAGCAGUGAAAUGCGUAGAGAUCGGAAGGAACAUCUGUGGCGAAGGCGACUAUCUGGGCCAACACUGACACUGAGGCACGAAAGCGUGGGGAGCAAACAGGAUUAGAUACCCUGGUAGUCCACGCCCUAAACGAUGCGAACUGGAUGUUGGGCACAACUUGGUGCCCAGUAUCGAAGCUAACGCGUUAAGUUCGCCGCCUGGGGAGUACGGUCGCAAGACUGAAACUCAAAGGAAUUGACGG
rnacentral:rRNA from 1 species